UACGUAGGGACCAAGCGUUGUUCGGAUUUACUGGGCGUAAAGGGUGCGUAGGCGGCGUGUCAAGUCAGUUGUGAAAUCUUAAGGCUUAACCUUAAGCGGUCAACUGAUACUGUCAUGCUAGAGUGCAGAAGGGGCAAUCGGAAUUCUUGGUGUAGCGGUGAAAUGCGUAGAUAUCAAGAGGAACACCUGAGGUGAAGACGGGUUGCUGGGCUGACACUGACGCUGAGGCACGAAAGCUAGGGUAGCAAACAGG
rnacentral:rRNA from 1 species